AGUGAGCCUACAUAUAGAGAGAGAGUUGAGCUGAAAUGCUUUCAGUAGUAAAAAGGCUCUAUUACAAUUCAUUUAUUUUCGAUGAUGGAGUCUUCAAAUCGACGAUCGGUACUGUCGAAUAUGAUCUAUACUCCUUGAGGCAUCUAGAAACCAAAUUUUAUUUUUUUUUCGAUAUUAUUCUCUUGUCCAUUAAGUGAGCACAAAAUGAACGGCUGAGAAGAAAUAUUCUUUAAAAAGUGAUGAUAGGAAUCUUGUAAUCAAGAUCGAGAGUAUAAAUUUUAUUCUAAAUAGUUUAAAAUUUUUUCUAAUCAAAAUUUAAUUGAUUUGGAUAUUUUUACAACAUUAAAAGAGAAAACGUCUCAUAUCAACAAUUAAAAUUACAAAUGUUAAAACCUUUUAAUCAUAAGGUCAACGAUGUCGAAAAAAUUUGAAAUUUGGUUUCUAAAUAAUUCAAGUGAUAUAGAUCUUGUUUAACAGUGUCGAUCGUCAAUUUGGAGGUUUCAUCAUCUAAAAUAAAUGGGAGCAACGAAGCUGAUUUGCUACCGACAGCAUUCCAGCUCUACUUUCUCUCUCUAUCUCUCUCUCUCUAUAUAUUUUUUUUAUUAUUGUUGUGAAUCAAAUGGACAUUUUAAAUUUUAUUUUUAAGAUAUUAAUAA
rnacentral:lncRNA from 1 species